rnacentral:rRNA from 1 species
UACAGAGGGUGCAGGCGUUAUCCGGAAUUACUGGGCGUAAAGGGCGCGUAGGCGGCCCGAUAAGUAGGACGUGCACUUCCGUGGCUUAACCACGGAACUGCGUUCUAGACUGUCAGGCUUGAGCACGGUAGAGGCAGAUGGAAUUCCCGGUGUAGCGGCGGAAUGCGUAGAGAUCGGGAAGAACACCAGUGGCGAAGGCGGUCUGCUGGGCCGUUGCUGACGCUGAUGCGCGACAGCGUGGGGAGCAAACAGG